rnacentral:misc_RNA from 1 species
AAGUCGUAACAAGGUUUCCGUAGGUGAACCUGCGGAAGGAUCAUUACAGAGUUCAUGCCCUAACGGGUAGAUCUCCCACCCUUUGAGUACUAUACUUUUGUUGCUUUGGCAGGCCGCUUCGGCUACCGGCUUCGGCUGGUAAGUGCCUGCCAGAGGACCCCAAACUCUGAAUUAUAGUGUCGUCUGAGAACUAUAUAAUAGUUAAAACUUUCAACAACGGAUCUCUUGGUUCUG